rnacentral:tRNA from 1 species
GUGGAGAUAGCUCAAUGGGUAGAGCAACUGUCUGAUAAACAGUGUGUUUCGGGUUCAAGUCCCGUUCUUCUCG